GAAAUGCGAUAAGUAAUGUGAAUUGCAGAAUUCAGUGAAUCAUCGAAUCUUUGAACGCAGCUUGCGCUCCUUGGUAUUCCUUGGAGCAUGCCUGUUUGAGUAUCAUGAAAUCUUCAAAGUAAAUCUUUUGUUAACUCAAUUGGUUUCUACUUUGGUAUUGGAGGUCUUUGCAGCUUCACACCUGCUCCUCUUUGUUCAUUAGCUGGAUCUCAGUGUUAUGCUUGGUUCCACUCGGCGUGAUAAGUUAUCUAUCGCUGAGGACACUGUAAAAGGUGGCCAAGGUAAAUGCAGAUGAACCGCUUCUAAAUGUCCAUUGACUUGGACAAUACUUUUAUGAUCUGAUCUCAAAUCAGGUAGGACUACCCGCUGAACUUAAGC
rnacentral:misc_RNA from 1 species